rnacentral:tRNA from 3 species
GCGGGAAUAGCUCAGCAGGUAGAGCACUUGGUUGAAGACCUUGGUGUCGCUGGUUCAACUCCCGCUUCCCGCACCA